GACGAACGCUGGCGGCGUGCUUAACACAUGCAAGUCGAACGGAACGGCCCUGCUUUUGUGGGGUGCUCGAGUGGCGAACGGGUGAGUAACCCGUGAGUAACCUGCCCUUGACUUUGGGGUAACUUAAGGAAACUGGGGCUAAUCCCGGAUAGGAGCUACUGCUGCAUGGUGGGGGUGGGAAAGUUUCGGCGGUUGGGGAUGGACUAGCGGCUUAUCAGCUUGUUGGUGGGGUAGUGGCUUACCAAGGCUUUGAAGGGUAGCCGGCCUGAGAGGGGGACCGGCCACACUAGGACUGGGAUACGACCCAGACUCCUACGGGAGGCAGCAGUGGGGAAUAUUGCACAAUGGGCGGAAGCCUGAUGCAGCAACGCCGCGUGCGGGAUGACGGCCUUCGGGUUGUAAACCGCUUUCGCCUGUGACGAAGCGUGAGUGACGGUAAUGGGUAAAGAAGCACCGGCUAACUACGUG
rnacentral:rRNA from 1 species